CGUUGUUCGGAGUUACUGGGCGUAAAGGGUGCGUAGGCGGCUUUUUAAGUUUGGUGUGAAAUCUCCCGGCUCAACUGGGAGGGUGCGCCGAAUACUGAGAUGGCUAGAGUGUGGGAGAGGAAAGUGGAAUUCCUGGUGUAGCGGUGAAAUGCGUAGAUAUCAGGAGGAACACCGGUGGUGUAAACGGCUUUCUGGACCAUAACUGACGCUGAUGCACGAAAGCGUGGGUAGCAAACAGGAUUAGAUACCCUGGUAGUCCACGCCCUAAACGAUGCAUAUUUGGUGUGGGCCAUUCAUUUGGUCUGUGCCGGAGCUAACGCGUUAAAUAUGCCGCCUGGGGAGUACAGUCGCAAGGCUGAAACUCAAAGGAAUUGAC
rnacentral:rRNA from 1 species